rnacentral:rRNA from 1 species
GAUGAACGCUGGCGGCGUGCUUAACACAUGCAAGUCGAACGGUGAAGCCCAGCUUGCUGGGUGGAUCAGUGGCGAACGGGUGAGUAACACGUGAGCAACCUGCCCCGGACUCUGGGAUAAGCGCUGGAAACGGCGUCUAAUACUGGAUAUGAGCUGCGAAGGCAUCUUCAGCAGCUGGAAAGAUUUUUUGGUCUGGGAUGGGCUCGCGGCCUAUCAGCUAGUUGGUGAGGUAACGGCUCACCAAGGCGUCGACGGGUAGCCGGCCUGAGAGGGUGACCGGCCACACUGGGACUGAGACACGGCCCAGACUCCUACGGGAGGCAGCAGUGGGGAAUAUUGCACAAUGGGCGCAAGCCUGAUGCAGCAACGCCGCGUGAGGGAUGACGGCCUUCGGGUUGUAAACCUCUUUUAGCAAGGAAGAAGCGAAAGUGACGGUACUUGCAGAAAAAGCGCCGGCUAACUACGUGCCAGCCGCCGCGGUAAGAC